GGGGGCGACUUGGUUUCGACGGGGGACGUGAAGCAGCUGGGAGCAUGCCGAGGGCGUCAUCUUCCUCGUUAAUCCGAUGGCAAAAAACUAGACGCGAACGACGACGUCUACGCCCUGGCCGCUUAAGGCCUGGCCCCGAACCCACUUGUGUCCGUGCUCGUGGAUGUAGGGUCACUAUCACGGGAUCGUCCGCACCGGCGCCUUUCGGUCGCGGAUCAAAUCCAAGAGGCUGGUCCGACGGUGCGCCUCGCACGUUGUGUUGCCGUCGGACGAGACCAAACAGCGUGACAAGCAUGUAGCGCCUGGCGCGGAGCGCCUUCGGACGCGGGUUCAAUUCCCGCCGCCUCCACCA
rnacentral:tmRNA from 2 species